rnacentral:rRNA from 1 species
AGUGAACGCUGGCGGUAGGCCUAACACAUGCAAGUCGAACGGCAGCACAGUAAGAGCUUGCUCUUACGGGUGGCGAGUGGCGGACGGGUGAGGAAUACAUCGGAAUCUACUUUUUCGUGGGGGAUAACGUAGGGAAACUUACGCUAAUACCGCAUACGACCUACGGGUGAAAGCAGGGGAUCUUCGGACCUUGCGCGAUUGAAUGAGCCGAUGUCGGAUUAGCUAGUUGGCGGGGUAAAGGCCCACCAAGGCGACGAUCCGUAGCUGGUCUGAGAGGAUGAUCAGCCACGCUGGAACUGAGACACGGUCCAGACUCCUACGGGAGGCAGCAGUGGGGAAUAUUGGACAAUGGGCGCAAGCCUGAUCCAGCCAUACCGCGUGGGUGAAGAAGGCCUUCGGGUUGUAAAGCCCUUUUGUUGGGAAAGAACAGCAGCAGGUUAAUACCCCGCUGUUCUGACGGUACCCAAAGAAUAGGCACCGGCUAACUUCGUG